CUCGUAGGCGGUUUGUCGCGUCGGGAGUGAAAACUCAGGGCUUAACCCUGAGCCUGCUUCCGAUACGGGCAGACUAGAGGUAUGCAGGGGAGAACGGAAUUCCUGGUGUAGCGGUGAAAUGCGCAGAUAUCAGGAGGAACACCGGUGGCGAAGGCGGUUCUCUGGGCAUUACCUGACGCUGAGGAGCGAAAGUGUGGGGAGCAACA
rnacentral:rRNA from 1 species